CAGUAGCCACGGUAAUACGGAGGGUGCAAGCGUUAAUCGGAAUUACUGGGCGUAAAGCGCACGCAGGCGGUCUGACAAGUCAGAUGUGAAAUCCCCGGGCUUAACCUGGGAACUGCAUUUGAAACUGUCAGGCUGGAGUCUUGUAGAGGGGGGUGGAAUUCCAGGUGUAGCGGUGAAAUGCGUAGAGAUCUGGAGGAAUACCGGUGGCGAAGGCGGCCCCCUGGACAAAGACUGACGCUCAGGUGCGAAAGCGUGGGGAGCAAACAGGAUUAGAUACCCGGUAGUCCCUGUCUCUUAUACA
rnacentral:rRNA from 1 species